GAUAAACGCUGGCGGCGUGCCUAAUACAUGCAAGUCGAUCGAUGGAUGCCCAGCUUGCUGGGAGGAAAUAGAGGCGAACGGGUGAGUAAUACGUAAGCAACCUGCCCACGAAGACCGGGAUAAUCCCUGGAAACGGGGACUAAGACCGGAUAGGUAACAGAACCGCAUGAUUCUGUUAUUAAAGGUUAAAACACUGGUGGAUGGGCUUACGGUGCAUUAGCUGGUUGGUGAGGUAACGGCCCACCAAGGCGAUGAUGCAUAGCUGGUCUGAGAGGAUGAACAGCCACAUUGGGACUGAGACACGGCCCAGACUCCUACGGGAGGCAGCAGUAGGGAAUUUUCGGCAAUGGGGGAAACCCUGACCGAGCAACGCCGCGUGAGUGAAGAAGGUCUUCGGAUCGUAAAGUUCUGUUAUUAGAGAAGAACAAGUCAAGGAGUAACUGUCUUGACUUUGACGGUACCUAACCAGAAAGUCACGGCUAACUACGUG
rnacentral:rRNA from 1 species